rnacentral:rRNA from 1 species
GACGAACCGAGCGAACGUUAUUCGGAAUCACUGGGCGUAAAGGGCGCGUAGGCGGCUGUUCAAGUCGGGGGUGAAAUCCCGUGGCUCAACCACGGAAUGGCCUUCGAUACUGGACGGCUCGAGACCGGAAGAGGUGAGUGGAACUGCGAGUGUAGAGGUGAAAUUCGUAGAUAUUCGCAAGAACACCAGUGGCGAAGGCGGCUCACUGGUCCGGUUCUGACGCUGAGGCGCGAAAGCGUGGGGAGCAAACAGG